GACGUAGGGCGCGAGCGUUGUCCGGAUUUAUUGGGCGUAAAGAGCUCGUAGGCGGCUUGUUACGUCGACUGUGAAAUCCCCCGGCUCAACCGGGGAACGGGCGCCGAUACGACCGCCCUGGAGGGACGUAGGGGGACCUGGAACUUCCGGUGGAGCGGUGAAAUGCGUUGAGAUCGGAAGGAACGCCCGUGGCGAAAGCGAGGUCCUGGACGUUUUCUGACGCUGAGACGCGAAAGCCAGGGGAGCGAACGGG
rnacentral:rRNA from 1 species